GUUUUUUCCUCCCUUCCAGUUGGCAGGUUUGCCAUGAAUUUUCUAGCAAGUUUCCUUUGUGUGUCCUACUUUAUGGCAGUGUUCACACCAAGGCCUAUUGGACUUACGACAUUGAUCUUGGGGCUGAUUGAAUUGUCCUCUUGCAGCAAGAGCUGAUCCCUCAUUUGUUAGGCCUUGAGGAGAGAGAUCUUUCAGCAUCACUUUCUUCCGACUUUCCUCCCUGCGAACCUCAGAACAUGCUUCGCGGAUGGAGGGAAGUGGUUUGGUUGAGAGAAUCCUUCCCCUGACUUCGUCCAAGUUUUUGUUGAGACCGGCAAGAAAUGUGAAGAUCCGUUCCUUCUCAAUGAUCUUUUGGUACUUAAGGGCAUCAGUUGGACAGUCCCACUCAAGUCCCUCAAGAAUAUCCAGUUGUUGCCAGUAUCGAGUGAGGAUACUGAAAUAUUGAGUGACGUUGAGGUCACCUUGGCGCAGAUCACGAAUUUGACUCUUAAUCUCAAAGGUUUCAGCUGCAUUUUCACUAUCGGAGAAAGUUUCUUUUGCUGCAUCCCAAAUCUCCUUCGCUGUUUUGUAGAACAGAAAAGUUUGUCAAACAUCUGCUUCCAUUGAGUUUAUCAGCCACGACAUGACCAUAUUGUUCUCGGUCUUCCAUGAUUUGUAUGAAGGAUCAUCCUUCUGAGGUUCAUUUUUCUCUCCUGUCAAAUAAUCAUCCUUGCCUCUGCCACUGAUAUACAUCAUUACUGAUUGAAACCAUUGCAGGAAAUUGCGUCCAUUAAGUUUAUGAACUGUGAUCAGCGAAACGGAGCCUUCGGAUGUUCCACAGGAACUUGGAAGAUUUGAUGAUAGACUAGAGGUGACUUCCGUUGGAGCGGAAGGUUGAGUUUUUGUUGAUCCUAAUGAGGCCAUGAUUUUGUCCAGGUUCAAAAGAAAAUUUUUCAGAUGUG
rnacentral:lncRNA from 1 species